GAUGAACGCUGGCGGCGUGCUUAACACAUGCAAGUCGAACGAUGAAGCCCAGCUUGCUGGGUGGAUUAGUGGCGAACGGGUGAGUAACACGUGAGUAACCUGCCCUUGACUCUGGGAUAAGCCUGGGAAACUGGGUCUAAUACUGGAUAUGACUUCUCAUAGCAUGGUGGGGGGUGGAAAGAUUUAUUGGUCUUGGAUGGACUCGCGGCCUAUCAGCUUGUUGGUGAGGUAAUGGCUCACCAAGGCGACGACGGGUAGCCGGCCUGAGAGGGUGACCGGCCAAGCUGGGACUGAGACACGGCCCAGACUCCUACGGGAGGCAGCAGUGGGGAAUAUUGCACAAUGGGAGCAAGCCUGAUGCAGCGACGCCGCGUGAGGGAUGACGGCCUUCGGGUUGUAAACCUCUUUCAGUAGGGAAGAAGCGAGAGUGACGGUACCUGAAGAAGAAGCGCCGGCUAACUACGUG
rnacentral:rRNA from 1 species